GGGAAUCCGGUGCGAAUCCGGGACUGCCCCGCAACGGUGUGCGAGCGCGGACCACGGCCCUUUCCUCAAGGGCCGGUCGCGCGCUCCCGAGUCCGAAGACC
rnacentral:ncRNA from 2 species